UACGUAGGGUCCGAGCGUUGUCCGGAAUUACUGGGCGUAAAGAGCUCGUAGGUGGUUUGUCGCGUUGUUCGUGAAAACUCACAGCUCAACUGUGGGCGUGCGGGCGAUACGGGCAGACUAGAGUACUGCAGGGAGACUGGAAUUCCUGGUGUAGCGGUGGAAUGCGCAGAUAUCGAGGAGGAACACCGGUGGCGAAGGCGGGUCUCCUGGG
rnacentral:rRNA from 1 species